UACGAGGACGAACGCUGGCGGCGUGCUUAACACAUGCAAGUCGAACGAUGAAGCGGUGCUUGCACCGUGGAUUAGUGGCGAACGGGUGAGUAAUACGUGAGUGACCUACCUUUGACUCUGGGAUAAGCCUGGGAAACUGGGUCUAAUACCGGAUACGACCAAUCUCUGCAUGGGGUGUUGGUGGAAAGCGUUAUGGAGUGGUUUUAGAUGGGCUCACGGCCUAUCAGCUUGUUGGUGAGGUAAUGGCUUACCAAGGCGACGACGGGUAGCCGGCCUGAGAGGGUGACCGGCCACACUGGGACUGAGACACGGCCCAGACUCCUACGGGAGGCAGCAGUGGGGAAUAUUGCACAAUGGGCGCAAGCCUGAUGCAGCGACGCCGCGUGAGGGAUGACGGCCUUCGGGUUGUAAACCUCUGUUAGCAUCGAAGAAGCGAAAGUGACGGUAGGUGCAGAGAAAGCGCCGGCUAACUAC
rnacentral:rRNA from 1 species